CUACCUUGAGGAGAUCGAUCAUGGCCUGCCCUCCCUCCUGAACCUCGUAGCUCACCCCGCCGAUUCAUUGAGGUCGAGGGCACAAGGGGCAUGUCUUGUUCACCAACUGGGACGGAAAGCAGAUCAGUCCCCACCCCUGAUUCAUAGACACACAAGUGCACACCAAGUGUUUGAUAGCUGUCCUCUGUUACUAGUUUAGAAUAUUGGGAGCCUUCAGAUAGAGGGGGUUGUUUCUGAUUCUUCUUCUAUAAGGUUUACUAAACAUAAGAGGUGGCUUAAAUCUAGUAACUGUUAAGGUUUCAGGUGUGGACGUGUGCAAUAUUUCAAUGUAGUUCUGCACCAUUACUACCUUG